rnacentral:snRNA from 1 species
GUGCUUGCUUCGGCAGCACAUAUACUAAAACUGGAACAAUACAGAGAAGAUUAGCAUGGCCCCUGUGCAAGGACGACACGCAAAUUUGUGAAGCAUUCCAUAUUUUU